rnacentral:lncRNA from 1 species
GUCGUUCGUUUUUCAAACACGUUGAACAGGGAAGGGUUAUCCUAACACGUUUCAACUUCCGGGCAGCUUUGACACUGUUAAACAAGAGACAGUGUUUACUGUCAGUUUAGUAAAAACCUAACAUUGUUAGUUAAAAUAUCAUUGUAUAGAUAUAGGAAGAUAUGGUAUAGUUUAGUUUUGAAACUUAACUGUGAAAAAUACAUUAUUCAGUUAUUUAUUUUGUUUUGAUUUGUGGGUGAAGUACCUUGAUAUCGC